rnacentral:tRNA from 3 species
GGGUCAGUGGCGGAACCGGUAUACGCGCGACACUUAAAAUGUCGUCCGCAAAAGCGGGUGUGGGUUCGACUCCCACCUGACCCA